CCUACGGGUGGCAGCAGUGAGGAAUAUUGGUCAAUGGACGAGAGUCUGAACCAGCCAAGUAGCGUGAAGGAUGACUGCCCUAUGGGUUGUAAACUUCUUUUAUAUGGGAAUAAAAUGUUCCACGUGUGGGAUUUUGUAUGUACCUUAUGAAUAAGGAUCGGCUAACUCCGUACCAGCAGCCGCGGUAAUACGGAGGAUCCGAGCGUUAUCCGGAUUUAUUGGGUUUAAAGGGAGCGUAGGUGGAUUGUUAAGUCAGUUGUGAAAGUUUGCGGCUCAACCGUAAAAUUGCAGUUGAAACUGGCAGUCUUGAGUACAGUAGAGGUGGGCGGAAUUCGUGGUGUAGCGGUGAAAUGCUUAGAUAUCACGAAGAACUCCGAUUGCGAAGGCAGUUCACUGGACUGCAACUGACACUGAGGCUCGAAAGUGUGGGUAUCAAACAGGAUUAGAUACCCGAGUAGUC
rnacentral:rRNA from 1 species